AUUCAUCUGCGUACCAAACAUCAAUAAAGCAAAAUGUCUGUUCUUAUCAGCUUAAUAUCUGAUACGGGUCCUAUUUGGACCCAAGAUAUUAAACUUAUUUUUGGAAUGGGGCGGAGUGCUUGAAGCUUGCUUCACCUCCGCCACGGGUUGGCCCGGUAUUGCACUAUCUCCGGGAUCGGCCCACUCACC
rnacentral:snRNA from 1 species